rnacentral:rRNA from 1 species
GAUGAACGCUGGCGGCGUGCCUAAUACAUGCAAGUCGAGCGAACGGACGAGAAGCUUGCUUCUCGGAUGGUAGCGGCGGGCGGGUGAGUAACAUGUGGAUAACCUACCUAUAAGACUGGGAUAACUUCGGGAAACCGUAGCUGAUACCGGAUAAUAUUUUGAACCGCAUGGUUCAAAAGUGAAAGACGGUCUUGCUGUCACUUAUAGAUGUAUCCGCGCUGCAUUAGCUAGUUGGUAAGGUAACGGCUUACCAAGGCAACGAUGCCUAGCCGACCUGAGAGGGUGAUCGGCCCCACUGGAACUGAGCCACGGUCCAGAGUCCUACGGGCGGCAGCAGUAGGGAAUGUUGCGAAAUGGGCGAAAGCCUGACGGAGCAACGCAGCGCGAGUGAUGAAGGUCCUCGGAUCGUAAAACUCUGUUAUGAGGGAAGAACAUAUGCGUCAGUAACUGUGCACAUCUUGACGGUACCUAAACAGAAAGCAACGGCUAACUACGUG